rnacentral:rRNA from 1 species
AUGGCCGGCGGGAGGAACCGGGAGUGGAUACGUAAGAAGAUGACGGCGGCGGCCGCCGGCGGGUCGCUGCGCGUGCGCGCGCUGUCCACGGCGCUGCGGCAGCGGAGGAGACGGCUGCCGCGCGUCGACCUCCUCCGGUUCUUCUACGAGAGCAUCGUGUUCCGGCUGCUGUGGGUGCUCGAGUCCAUCAUCGUCCUCGCCAGGCUCUGCUUCUUCUUCCUCCGCUUCGGAUUCCGGCUGUAA